GAUGAACGCUGGCGGCAGGCCUAACACAUGCAAGUCGAGCGGGGUUUUCGGACCUAGCGGCGGACGGGUGAGUAAUGCGUAGGAAGCUGCCCGAUAGAGGGGGAUACCAGUUGGAAACCGACUGUUAAUACCGCAUAAUGUCUACGGACCAAAGUGUGGGACCUUCGGGCCACAUGCUAUCGGAUGCGCCUACGUGGGAU
rnacentral:rRNA from 1 species